CACCAGAAGUAGAUAGCUUAACCUUCGGGAGGGCGUUUACCACGGUGUGGUUCAUGACUGGGGUGAAGUCGUAACAAGGUAGCCCUAGGGGAACCUGGGGCUGGAUCACCUCCUUAACGA
rnacentral:rRNA from 1 species